rnacentral:misc_RNA from 1 species
GGAAAUCAAAUCCUCUCACUCACACUUCAACAACCUCUAACCGUUGUGUGUCAGAAGUUAAGAACUUGAAACUACACGCGAAAAAGGUGGACACAUUUCGCUGAAAUGUCGUUUAUAUAAAAUAAACGUUUUCGCUAGUGCCAACAGUGGUGUCAUUAUGUUUUGCUUUUGUACCAGUUAAAUUGUUGCGUUCGAAAAUAGUUAUGUAGUUAGUUGUGUGUGGCUUUUGUGUACCUGUGUCGUUUCUACCUACCUACCUGUCUCUUUAAUUAUGAAGACUGAUGGGGUAUUGUUUUUGUUGUUUGUUGCUGGACUGGCUUUUCAUCAGGUGACUUUUGGCGCAGAACUGGUCAUUCACAUCCCUGGUAAUUUAGGUCAAGAUGGCGUAGUAUACAGAUUAGAUUACUUCCCUCCUAUUGGUCAUCCGGCUCCAAACACCACUAUUGCUUCUAAGGACAUCAGAGAUGUGAUCAAAUUUUCUCAGGCCCUUCCAGGAACAAAAUAUGAUUUUCGACUUUACUACUCCAACGCUACACACAACAUGCUCACCUGGACUGCCAAUUUUACAACAGUACCUGAUCCACCUUCAGGCCUCUCAGUCGACGUCCGAAGUGGAAAAACCGCCAUCAUAUCCUGGGAAUCUCCAGCCCAGGGUAGUUUUACUAGUUUUAAACUUAAGAUCAAUCCUCUUGUGCACAUUUCCGAGCCAAAACAACAACCAAUCAUCAUCGACAAUGUGGAUAACAACAUGUAUGUUCUGAAAGAUCUGGUUCCUGGAGCUACGUACCAAGUUCAGGCGUUUACCGUUUUCGAAAACAAAGAAAGCGUUGCUUAUACUUCUAGAAACUUCACCACAAAACCCAACACACCUGGGAAAUUCAUAGUAUGGUUCAGAAACGAAACAACCUUACUGGUUCUAUGGCAGCCCCCUUACCCAGCAGCUAUAUAUUCCCACUACAAGGUCUCCAUCGAUCCUCCAGAUGCAAACGACAGCGUCUUGUACGUAGAAAAGGAGGGAGAACCUCCUGGUCCUGCUCAGGCAGCUUUUAAAGGAUUGAUUCCAGGUAGAGCUUAUAAUAUUUCCGUUCAGACGAUGUCAGAAGACGAAAUUUCCACUCCGACCACUGCUCAAUAUCGAACAGUACCCUUGAAGCCGCAGAGGAUAUAUUUUGAGAAGGAUAAAAUUACCUCGCAUUCGUUUAUUGUCCAUUGGGAUCCUCCAAGCGGCAAAAGUGAAUUUGACAAGUAUCAAGUCUCCUUGGGCACUGUACGAAAACCUCCUCCUGUUCCAAGAUCAAAAGAAGAUCCUACAUUUUGGGAAUUCAAGGAUAAUUUAGAACCGGGAAAGACCUAUUCCGUUGUUGUGAAAACUGUUUCUGGAAAAGUCACUUCUUGGCCUGUCAGUGCUGAUGUUACAUUAAAGCCUCUUCCGGUAAGAUACGUCACUUCAACUACCGAUACAAAAACUGGGACAGUAAGUAUAUUUUGGUCCCCUGAUCCAGCUAGUACACAAGAAGGGUAUUUAGUUUCUUAUCAUGAAGCAGAAAGUACUACAGGAGACAGUAACACUAUAAAUACCAACCAGACUGAUAUUAGUUUAGAGGCUCUAUUGCCUGGAAGAAAUUAUUCCAUUACGGUGCAAACCGUCUCCAAAGACCAACAGUCAACCGAAGAAUCACUUUAUGUUGCCACCAAACCAAGUGCACCAGUGAUUGAAGACCUGAGACCUAUGAUAGAUGGUCUAAAUAUUAGUUGGAAGUCUGACGUAAACUCAAAACAAGACAAGUACGAAAUUCAGUGGAUCAGAAACGACACACACGAAAGGAACAUCAAAACAAGUUACGAAUCCAAAAUUAUUUUGAGCCAUCUCUAUCCUGGCGCUGGAUACUUGGUGAAAGUGUUUGCUUUAUCUCACGGAUUAAAAAGUGAACCACAUGAAUAUUUUCAACCUGUUUUUCCGAGACCACCUAGAAACAUGUCUAUUGAAAAAACGACAAGCAAUUCAGUAAUAGUGCGAUGGGUAGCGCCAAGUGAUUCGUUAAUAUCUGAGUAUGCGAUUAGGUAUAGAACCGAUUCAGAUAAUCAGUGGGUCAGAUUGCCAGCUGUCCAAAACACAGAAGCCGAAGUAACAGAUAUGUCUCCUGGGGAAAGAUAUACAAUUCAAGUAAACACGGUCAGUUAUGGUCUGGAGAGCAACGAACCGCAACAGUUAAACCAUACUGUCAAACCAAAUCCUGUGUCAAAUAUCAACCCUAUAGUAGAUUCUAACAACGUAACAUUAGAAUGGCCAAGACCAGAAGGUAGGGUAGAUAUAUACAUAGUAAAAUGGAAGGAAACUGGUAGUGGCUCUCAUCUAAAUAAGCAAAACAUUAGUCAAAACCAGAAUGGCACCGGACCUGUAAGAAUGCUUAUUGGAGAUCUGAUGCCUGGUGUAGAAUACGCUUUCGAAAUUCAAGCUAUAUCAAACGAUUUACAGAGCGAAAUAACGGUUGUUAAGGCCAGGACAAUGCCUUUAAUUCAAUCAGAGGUUGUGGUAGUGAAUAAGCAGCAGUCAACUGAUACAAUUAGUCUCAGAUAUACCCCAACUCCUAUUAGUAUAUCAAGAUUCGAUACUUAUCGAUUUUCUUUAUCGGAUCCGAGUAUACCAGACAAAGAAAAAGCUGCCAAUGAUUCCGAUAGAUUUGUUACAUUUACUGGGCUGGUUCCUGGAAGAUUGUAUAAUAUUACAGUGUGGACCUUAUCUAAAGAUGUCGCAAGCCAACCCUUACAAAGGCAAGAUAGACUAUAUCCUGAACCCAUCACAAGCAUAAACUCUACAUACAUAUCCGAUACCGAAGUCACUUUAGCAUGGUCAUUACCGCACGGCGAAUUUAAUGCUUUCGAAGUUCAGUAUCUCACAACAGAGAACAUUUUUAUCCAAAACUUAACGACUCAUAACACCAUAAUUAUUAAUGAUUUGAAACCCCAUCGAAACUAUACGUUUACUGUCAUCGUGCGAAGUGGAACAGAAUCGAGCAUUUUAAGAAGUUCUUUGCCCGUGUCAGCUAUAUUUACAACCAAGGAGUCUGUACCUGGGAAAGUUGAGAAGUUUGAACCUGUAGACAUUCAACCAGGAGAGAUACAUUUCGAAUGGGCGUUGCCGAUGACCGAACAGAAUGGUGUUAUUAGGAAAUUUACUAUUACUUAUGGUUUGGAGGGAGAAACUCACACGACUUCUCAAGAUUUUGGACCCAACGAGUUUAGAGGAACUAUAAAACCGUUAGAACCAGGAAAAACUUAUGUUUUUAAAAUACAAGCUGAAACAAGAGUAGGUUUUGGCCCAGAAACCGAAUGGACGGAAAAAAUGCCUAUAACCGCACCUCCCGUGCCGCAGCCCCAAGUAGUGCCAACUGAAGUAUGCAAGAGUCCCACGUCUAUCCAGAUACGAUUCAGAAAGAAUUAUUUCAGUGAUAUUCAUGGACCGGUUACAGCAUAUGCUAUUAUAGUAGCUGAAGACGAUUCUAAAAAUGCUUCAGGUCUAGAAAUGCCAAGUUGGAGAGACGUUCAAGCAUAUUCAGUGUGGCCUCCGUACCAAGUCAUGGAACCAUACUAUCCCUUCGUGAAUAGUUCUCUAGUAGAAGAUUUUACGAUUGGUAGUGAAUCAUGUGAUAUACGCCAACUGGGGUACUGCAAUGGGCCUCUUAAAUCGGGAGCUACUUAUAAAGUGAAAAUUAGAGCAUUUACAGCACCGGACAAGUUUAGUGAUACAAGCUAUAGCUUUCCUAUUCAAACAGAUCAAGAUAAUACUCCCAUAGUUCUUGGAGUUAUCAUUCCCAUAAUUUUCAUCGCUCUACUUUUCAUCACUGUCAUUUUUAUUAGAAAAAGAAGAGCAGCUGGUAAGAGGAAGGCUUCGGAAGCUAGAGUUAAUGAUACUUCUAUGUCCUUGCCGGAUUCCGUUAUAGAAACUAGUAGACCUGUGCGGAUUGAAAAUUUCUCUAAUCACUAUAGGAUUAUGUCCGCUGAUUCAGAUUUUAGGUUUAGUGAAGAAUUUGAGGAACUAAAACUCGUUGGUCGUGAUCAACCGUGUACAUUUGCGGAUUUACCGUGCAAUAGACCUAAGAAUAGAUUUACGAACAUUUUACCAUAUGAUCAUUCCCGAUUUAAACUUCAACCCGUUGAUGAUGAAGAAGGCUCUGAUUAUAUCAAUGCAAAUUAUGUACCGGGUUAUAACUCUCCGAGAGAGUUCAUAGUCACACAAGGUCCUCUACAUUCCACUCGAGAUGAUUUCUGGAGAAUGGUAUGGGAAUCAAACUCUAGGUCAAUUAUAAUGUUAACUCGUUGUGUCGAGAAGGGUAGAGAAAAAUGCGAUCAUUAUUGGCCCUAUGACACGAUGCCAGUGUAUUAUGGCGACAUCUCUGUUCAAAUACUAAAUGAAUCUCGAUAUGCUGACUGGAACGUAUCAGAGUUUAUGGUUUGUAGGGGCGAAACUCAAAGAAUUGUUAGGCAUUUCCACUUUAGUACUUGGCCUGACUUUGGUGUUCCGAACCCACCACAUACAUUGGUUAGGUUCGUUAGAGCAUUUAGAGAAAAGGUACCCCCCGAUCAACGACCAAUUGUAGUGCACUGUAGUGCUGGAGUUGGUCGAUCAGGGACAUUUAUAUGUCUAGAUAGAAUCCUGCAACAAAUUCUAAAGUGCGACUACGUCGACAUAUUUGGAAUAGUUUUCGCCAUGAGAAAAGAAAGAGUGUGGAUGGUCCAGACUGAACAACAAUAUAUUUGUAUUCACCAGUGCCUUUUGGCAGUGUUAGAGGGUAUAGACUUGACGACAUCUCCUAGAGAGAUUCACGAAAACCAAGGAUUCGAAGGCAAAGGUGUUGGUGCUACAGUUGACUCGGAUUUUGCACCAGGGGAAAAACUGAGGUAGAACAAUUAACGAGGCGCACAACUGUAAUGCUUAUUACCUCUUUUACUUUUGAUGAUGAAGGUAUAGCCGAGUCAGGAAUGUAGAAAAACUUCUAUCAACCAUGAACAAAAUAAUCACUAGGUAGCUUUGAUGAAGCAUGUUUUAAACGAUGACGUGAAGGUUAUAUUUGCUAGUUAAUAACUUAUUUUUCAGUAUAAAAAAGUAAAAUUGGUAAAGAUAAUUUUGUACUAUUUGUUAUAUAUUUUGUACAAUAGUAGAAGUACAAAUAGGAAACAUUAUUGCUUCCAAUUAUUUUGGAACCUAAUUAUUGGUUAUGUAUGUUGCUUUCUUUAUCAAUUUUAGCAAUUAUUGUUACCUGUUUUGUUGUUCAAAUUAAAAUGUAUAGUAUACAGAAUUUUUAAAAUAUAUAUUGACGUUUACAAAAAGU